rnacentral:pre_miRNA from 13 species
AAUAUCUGUUCAUGUGACCCGUGGACUUCCCUUUGUCAUCCUAUGCCUGAGAAUAUAUGAAAGGGGCUGGGAAGGCAAAGGGACGUUCAACUGUCAUCACUGGC